GGGAAGCGAGCGGCCCCGGCCGGUUCCCCGCCGGCUGCUGGGCGCAGGUGCAUCCCCCGCGGCCGGCCCCAAGCACCUGCGCGCGGAGAGCGGGCCCGGUCCGGACAGCGUCCCCCGUCCUGACCACACGAUUCCGCCCCUCAGGUCAACUCGGGGGUCCUGACGGGUCCGCUGAGCGGAAGGGAUAGGAGCGUGCAGUGCGACCUGCAGAGGCUGCGGCACAGAUGCCUGGUGCAGUCCCGCUGAUUGAAAGAGGAGAUACACACUGUCCUCUUCAGGAGCGGGAACCCCCGUUCUGGGGACCGGUCGGGAAGAAGAUGGCUGAGGGCGGGAGUGGGGAGCCCAGUGCGCGGGCUGCUCUGCAACGUGUCGGCUCCGGGAAACCCCACAACGGCCCUCUGGUUCCGCAAGCUGCUUUGAUCAUUCCCAUUUUACAGGCAAGGAAACUGAGGCCGAGAGAAGUUGUGACUCGCUGGAGCCCAUUUCUGAGGAGAACAAGUCAACCUAGCUUUGACUCCCAAGGACCCAUCAACUAAUUCCCUAUUGGAGCCCCCUCAACCAACCUGUUAAAAAAAAGUCAAUGAAUUACCCUUUUAAAGCAGUGAGAAGGGGUGCCUGGGGAGCAGAAGAGAAAGGCUGGUGGAAGAGAAGAGGUACGUAGGACUUGAAGGCUGCCCCUAUUCUUCCCAGACACAGCUAAAGUGAACACCUCUGGUCGAUCUCCAUUUUAGCACCAGCGCUGCUAACUGCUUGGAUCUGAUUGCAAAUUUGUGAGAUGAUUUGAGAAUUUGAACAUGAGUUAUGAGAAAGUCUUUUCACCAUGUCCUCUAAAUAAUAACACUAUGAAAGAGAGUUACCAAAUAGAAUCAAUGAAAAAUAUAUCUGAGGAAUCAGAUUGAAUAGAGAAAGCAGGACAGGAAAUUUGAAUAAGUAUAGGUAAUGACUCCAGAGAAAUUUUACAAAGAUAUUGCCUUUGUAAAAAAAAAUAUAAAUGUUAUUGAUAAAUUAGAAAAAAACAAAGCUCAUAGGUGGAUGGAAAAUGGAAUGAAUACAGUUGAAGGUCAAAUCAGUAAUGCAGAAAAACCUACCUGAGGAAUUAUCCCAGAACAUGUAAUAAGAAUACAAAGUAAUAACAUGGAACAAAAGUUAAAGGACAUAGAAGAUAAAUGGAAAAAGUGCAAAAACCAUUAUAGAGGAACUCUAGAGAGUAGAGAGAAUGGAAGGAAGGAAAUUUUCUAUGAAAUAGUAGAAGUGCUCUCCAAACUGAAGAAAUAAUGAUGCUGAGAUUGACAGAGACUUUCAAAAGAUCAACACGGUAAUAGAGCAAUAUCUUCAAAGUCCUCAAUUGAAAUUGCCUGGAACUUACCACUGUAUACCAAGCUUAGCUAUUAUAAAUCUAUCUUUCGUUGAGGACAAAAUGAAGACAUUUUCAGACAUGCAAGAAGUCAAACAUUUAAGAUCCACAGAUACUCUCUAAAAGAACCCGAAAUACUGAAAAAUGAAUUCUAGCCAGAAGCAAAAUGAAGACAUGCAAAAGGAGUGGAAUACAAUAAACAUUGCAUCAAAUAAAUGAUCAAAUAAAACAGUAAAUGCUGCUUUUGAAGAGUAAGUAUUGGUUGUUUAAAGUGGGAAAUUUUAAAUAACAAUGCAGGUGCACCACUUGGAAAACUGACACUAUCCUCAAAUACUAAAUAUAUGCAUAGGUUAUGAUCCAGCAA